ACUGACUCUAGAGGCAUUGCAGGUGUGGCUUCUGUGUGUCAUGUGUGUCAGUAGGUGGCAGAAGAGAAAGAGGCUAUGUCUACUCUCAAUGUUCUGACCUAUGAACAUCUGAAUGCUUAGCAGCCUGACCCU